AUUGAACGCUGGCGGCAGGCCUAACACAUGCAAGUCGAACGAGUGGCGGACGUGUGAGUAAUGUCUGGGAAACUGCCUGCUGGUGGGGGAUAACUUCUGGAAACGGUUGCUACUACCGCAUACCAUCAGAUGUGCCCCGAUGGGAUUAGCUUGUUGGUGGGGUAACGGCUCACCAAGGCGACGAUCCCUAGCUGGUCUGAGAGGAUGACAAGCCACACUGGAACUGAGACACGGUCCAGACUCCUACGGGAGGCAGCAGUGGGGAAUAGUGCACAAUGGGCGCAAGCCGGAUGCAGCAAUGCCGCGUGUAUGAAGAAGGCCUUCGGGGUGUAAAGUACUUUCAGCGGGGAGGCGUUACCCGCAGAAGAAGCACCGGCUAACUCCGUGCCAGCAGCCGCGGUAAUAC
rnacentral:rRNA from 1 species